rnacentral:ncRNA from 2 species
CGACUUUGUGAAAUGACUUGAGAGGUGUAGAAUAAGUGGGAGCUCUGGCGCAAGUGAAAUACCGCUACUUUUAAUGUUAUUUUACUUACUCCGUGAAUCGGAGGCGGGGUAACAACCCCUUCUUUUACACCCAUGACUCGCUUCGGCGGGUCGAUCCGGGCAGAGGAUUGGAUCG